CUCCACCCCCGCCCCCGCCUCCCCCUCCAGUCUGGAGUUGUCCUGAAGAGUUCACAAUUCAGAUACCACUAGUACCCGAACCAUGCGAGUACACAUUAUCAACAGAUGCCACCAGCAGCUCACUACCAAUUGGCAAUAUCAUAGAUAAGACACUGCAGGGCGAUUGGAAUAUAAUCAAGGCCAUGUCUGUGACCGGAUCCGAGAUAUGUAAACCUGGUGACGUAUACGAUGUCGUUUUAUGUAGUCCAACGGAAAACUGCGCAUGCUGUACAGGGUGGUGUAGAGGUAGAUGUGCUAGUAUGGGCAGUUCCGUUAGUGAUCAAACAUGUGAACCGUUUAUGAACCCCUCCGGUUCUCCUAAUUUAAGAUGUGAUUGUUGUUGCAAACCACCUUCAUCUCCAUCUCCAUCUCCAUCGCCAUCCCCCUCGCCCUCGCCAGAUUCAUCUCCGUCACCGUCUCCAUAUUCAUCUCCUCCAUCUCCAUCCCCUCCGACCUUAAGUUGUCUACCGAAGUUCAAAAUUCAAUUACCAGGAAUGCCAGAACCAUGCAAAUACACACUUUCUUCAACAUCAUCAUCAUUAUCUUCGAAAACAACAUAUGCUGCUUCACUGCUAAACGUUACUUAGUGGUGCUAUUAUUGCGCACUUGGCUAGCUACAUGCUACUAGAACUGAUGAUUUUAAGAACAAUCAAUUGAAUAUAUCUGAACCGAGAUGAAUUCUGAAAAUUUAAGUUGAUGAGAUUCAUAUUCAAAUUCUCUUCAGAUUUAUUUUGCACUAUACCUUACGUUAUCAUUUAAACAACUAAGGAAUGACCCGUGCCGUAAAGGUACGAGCUAUUUCUCAUUGUUCC